AAGUCGUAACAAGGUUUCCGUAGGUGAACCUGCGGAAGGAUCAUUAACACGUUUUUUUAAAACCAAAACGUACUAAAACUCUGUGAACGAGAUUUCCAAAUAGAUCUCAUAACAAAUAAUAAUAUUAUUUUAUUAAUAUUAUUAUAAUACUAGUAUUAUAAUAAUAUUAAUACUAAUAGUAUUAUUAGGGAUUCCUAUUUGGGUUCAUAAAUCUCACCAUUUUUUUCCAAUAUCACCAACCCCUAAAACUACUUGAUAUAUAGGUAAUUCCUUCGGGAAUUCCUUGUAUUUGGUAUGUUUGUAACUAAACUUUUUCUUCAUUUCAUGCCUAAAAAACAUGAAAGCAAAAAGAUGAUAUUAUCUUCGGAUAUAUCUUAUCUUUUUAUGAACCAUAAACUGUUGUACAACUCUUAGCAACGGAUAUCUUGGUUCCC
rnacentral:misc_RNA from 1 species